UCCGCUACAGAAGUUCGGUCGGAGUCUGAUCUCCGUAGAAGUCUGGAUGGGGAUCAUUUGUCGAGGAAGCUCGGUCGAAGCCUGCAGUAGAAGCUCGGAGUAGAUCGCUUGCAGUAGAAGCUCGGAGUAAAUUGCUUGCAGUAGAAGCUCGGAGUAGAUCGCUUGCAGUAGAAGCUCGGAGUCUGGCCCUUGUAGGUGUUCGGAUGAGGUCUACCUGCUACAGG
rnacentral:lncRNA from 1 species